rnacentral:rRNA from 1 species
UACGGAGGGGGUUAGCGUUGUUCGGAAUUACUGGGCGUAAAGCGUACGUAGGCGGAUUAGUAAGUUGGGGGUGAAAUCCCGGGGCUCAACCCCGGAACUGCCUCCAAAACUACUAGUCUUGAGAUCGUGAGAGGUGAGUGGAAUUCCGAGUGUAGAGGUGAAAGUCGUAGAUAUUCGGAGGAACAUCAGUGGCGAAGGCGGCUCACUGGCACGAUAUUGACGCUGAUGCACGAAAGCGUGGGAAGCAAACAGG